UACGUAGGGUGCGAGCGUUGUCCGGAAUUAUUGGGCGUAAAGAGCUUGUAGGCGGUUUGUCGCGUCUGCCGUGAAAUUUCGGGGCUCAACCCCGAACUUGCGGUGGGUACGGGCGGACUAGAGUGUGGUAGGGGAGACUGGAAUUCCUGGUGUAGCGGUGAAAUGCGCAGAUAUCAGGAGGAACACCGAUGGCGAAGGCAGGUCUCUGGGCCACUACUGACGCUGAGGCGCGAAAGCGUGGGGAGCGAACAGG
rnacentral:rRNA from 1 species